GGACGCCUGGUUAUUUCAGAUGUGACCGAUGAAGACUCUGCAGCCUGGUCCUCGUCAGCCUUCAUCUUUUUCACAUCCGUCCAGCCGAGGCCCGCUCUCUCCUCCUGGUGGCGGCUCUCCGAUGCGAACCCUCGACUCAGACAGACAUUACAUCACCUCGGCACAGAGAUAAAUAAAUAACUAGAUAAAACCUUUGGUCUGCACUCAGCGACGUUAUGCAACAGCUAGCAUUAUUCCACAAUCAAAGGCUCGGGCGAAUCCACCCACACCAGCGCCCCUCCUCCACUACCAGGCCACGGCUGCAGCUAAAAACAUUUCCAGGGCCGCCUCGCUGCGGAGCGCUCACCGGCGCCGUUAUCUAAUCACUAUUGAAUUGUUCCAAAUCAAAUGUGAGGGUGCGAGUCACUCUCCAGGCUCGAUGAACCGCCGCCGCCGCCGCUGCAGCCGCCGACCGCCUCUCUUGCUGCGGCCCCAGGAGGGAAUCGUUGGCAAAGUGGAAGUUUAGCCGCCUUUGUCAGCGGCGAGGGGCGCACAGGUCACCCAGCUACUUUGUUCAGAGACACUUUUGUUGCUGUAAUAUGCUAAUCUGAUGGUUCUGAGCGAGGCUGAGGGUUGGGCUGCCUGGUAAAUGGAUGCAGGGUAGC